rnacentral:tRNA from 2 species
AUAAAGAUGGCAGACUAGUGCAUUAGGUUUAAGCCCUAAAUAUGAAGAUUAUUUUCUUCUCUUUAUA